GACGAACGCUGGCGGCGUGCUUAACACAUGCAAGUCGAACGGAAAGGCCCUGCUUUUGUGGGGUGCUCGAGUGGCGAACGGGUGAGUAACACGUGAGUAACCUGCCCUUGACUUUGGGAUAACUUCAGGAAACUGGGGCUAAUACCGGAUAGGAGCUCCUGCUGCAUGGUGGGGGUUGGAAAGUUUCGGCGGUUGGGGAUGGACUCGCGGCUUAUCAGCUUGUUGGUGGGGUAGUGGCUUACCAAGGCUUUGACGGGUAGCCGGCCUGAGAGGGUGACCGGCCACCUUGGGCCUGCGAUACGGCCCAGACUCCUACGGGAGGCAGCAGUGGGGAAUCUUGCACAAUGGGCGGAAGCCUGAUGCAGCAACGCCGCGUGCGGGAUGACGGCCUUCGGGUUGUAAACCGCUUUCGCCUGUGACGAAGCGUGAGUGACGGUAAUGGGUAAAGAAGCACCGGCUAACUACGUG
rnacentral:rRNA from 1 species